AGCGAACGCUGGCGGCAUGCCUAACACAUGCAAGUCGCACGGGGGGGCUUCGGCCUCCCAGUGGCGGACGGGUGAGGAACGCGUAGGGACCUGUCGAGGGGUGGGGGAUAACCGCGGGAAACUGCGGCUAAUACCGCAUGACGCCGCGGCGUGACAGCCGGGGCCAAAGGCGAAAGCCGCCCGCCGAGGGGCCUGCGUCCGAUUAGCUGGUUGGCGGGGUAGCGGCCCACCAAGGCGUCGAUCGGUAGCUGGUCUGAGAGGGUGAUCAGCCACACCGGGAAUGAGACACGGCCCGGACUCCUACGGGAAGCAGCAGUGGGGAAUAUUGGACAAUGGGCGCAAGCCUGAUCCAGCAAUGCCGCGUGGGUGAAGAAGGUCUUCGGAUUGUAAAGCCCUUUCGGCGGGGACGAUGGUGACGGUACCCGCAGAAGAAGCCCCGGCUAACUUCGUG
rnacentral:rRNA from 1 species